CAGGAGACUCAAUUUACUAUUUCAGAGCAUCUGUUGGAAGAUAUAACAGAUACAGCUAAAAUACAAACUCCCAUUACACCACUUGUGACAGGAAAACCAAAAGAGACUAAUAAGGAGAACAGCACAAAGGCUGAUGUUCGUUCAGAGAAGCCAUUUCUUUUGGAGACUAAAGUGGAUGCAGCCACACUUCCUGGUGGUGCUGACAAAACUGAAGCUGUAAGUUCCACUGAUGAAAGCCAGGUGGCUGGAUUUACUAUUUUAGAACAUCAAAUGAUGACAGAUCCCAGUCCAGCACUGGUGACCAAUAAGUCUAAAAAGAGGGGAAAUGAUGGAAAAAACAGAGAGGCUAAAAAUGCCUCUGAGCAGCCAGUUCUUCUGGAGACUAAGAUCGACAAAAGCAAAAUACAACCUCCCAUAGUAACUGAUCUGGAGUACCAAAUGGAAGAAAUGGGUCUUGUAGAUGAAAACCAAAAUAUUAAAAAUUUCCCCUCUGAGCAUCAAAUGCUUUGGGAUAAUAAGGGUCACUUGUUCACACCCUUCACUCAGUCUGGAGCAGUUGGUGUUGACAGAGUUGACAAAGCUUGUUCUAUAGACAAAAAUCAAGGGCUUGCCAGUAUCUUUCCAGAGUAUCCAGUAAAGGAUGAAGGAUGGAAGGUGCCUGUGCCUCCUGCAGUGGUUUGGGAGGGCACCAACAAAGAAUCAAGCACAGGUGACAAAAGGGAGAAAAAUAAACACAGCCAUUAUGAGCAUUCAGUCACACUGGAAGGUGAAGAUGCUGGCGUACAGGCUUUCGCUUCAGUGAAGGAGGGUGAUGAAAUCAAAGUGACUAGUGCUGGGGAUAAGAAGAAGAAAGGUAAACGGCCUUCCUUGGAUUCUCCAGUUAAACAGGAUGCCAAGGCAGGAAGGGAUGAAGUGCAUACUUCCAUUUUAGCAGAGAUUGAUGACAAAGGAAUAAGUUUCACUGGUGAAAAGCAAAGCACUGAAUGUGCUUCCUUGGAGCAUCUGGUGAAGGAGACAGAUGCCAUGAAGGGAACAAUUCCCACAGAUGCCAAAGUGACGGACAAAAUGGAAGGAAGUAGCUCUGCGGGUGAGAAGGAUGUUGGAUGCAUUUCUCCGGAACUUACAGUGCAAUGGGAGAAUAAAGCAGAAGCAGUUGUUCUGCAGGUUCUAGGUACAACGGAGGUGGUGAACGAGGCUAAAGAGGCUGAGCUGGGUGAACAAAGCUUCUCUGAGUGCCCAGUUAGUUUAGAAAAAAAGACAGAUGCAGCUGAGGUUGCUAGUGUGACUCUGAGAGAUGCCCAA
rnacentral:lncRNA from 1 species